rnacentral:lncRNA from 1 species
GGUUAGAACCAUUAUGGCUUAAACCAGACCUUCAAACCUAAGAACUUCGAAACCAAGGAUAAGAAAAAAAGGAUAGAUUUCAGAACCAACAUAAACCCAAUUCUCAAACCAUAGGAAUCAAGACACCUAUUGAUGGGAGGCUUUGCCUUGUUGGCAGUCGAGACAACCAUCUUGCCCAUCAAUGCUUCUACCAGAAGAAAGAAAAGUUUGUGACCAA